rnacentral:rRNA from 1 species
GAUGAACGCUGGCGGCGUGCUUAACACAUGCAAGUCGAACGGGAAAUAUUUCAUUGAGACUUCGGUGGAUUUGAUUUAUUUCUAGUGGCGGACGGGUGAGUAACGCGUGGGUAACCUGCCUUAUACAGGGGGAUAACAGUCAGAAAUGGCUGCUAAUACCGCAUAAGCGCACAGAGCUGCAUGGCUCAGUGUGAAAAACUCCGGUGGUAUAAGAUGGACCCGCGUUGGAUUAGCUAGUUGGUGGGGUAACGGCCCACCAAGGCGACGAUCCAUAGCCGGCCUGAGAGGGUGAACGGCCACAUUGGGACUGAGACACGGCCCAGACUCCUACGGGAGGCAGCAGUGGGGAAUAUUGCACAAUGGGGGAAACCCUGAUGCAGCGACGCCGCGUGAAGGAAGAAGUAUCUCGGUAUGUAAACUUCUAUCAGCAGGGAAGAUAGUGACGGUACCUGACUAAGAAGCCCCGGCUAACUACGUG